AAUCUGGCAUGAAUGCUUCAAGGCUUUCUCAGGGCACCAGGAAACCUGUAAAACUGUCUGAACAGGAUCAGCAGGCUAUGUCUUGCAAAACUGGCUCCAAGAAGGAGAGCAAGGAGCAUUUGAUGUGGUUUUCUCUUCACUAGUAGGCUGAGAACCUUGGAGGUGGCGGGGAGGGGAAGGAGGAGAAGGGCCACAUCCACUGUAUCCUUAUACCAUCAACUGGCAAGGAAUUUGACAGCCACUUUCUGAAUUCAUCUAAAGCCAGAGGGCAUCAGAAAACCCAGUUCCAGCCAAUGAGACAUAAAUGGAAGUUGGUCAGGUAGAUGUGAUGCCUGGAGGUGCAGCAGUCAUUCUAUAACCGUGAGGCAAUAAUUCAGCCAUUAAAGAAGGCAGAACAUAAAGAGAGAAGAGCACUGAUGACAUGAGGAGCUGCUACUCGAGUCCAGAUGUUUUGUUAUGUGAGACAAAUAAAUCUCUUCAUAUACAUGCCACAGUUAGUUGGGUUUUCUGUUACCUGUGAUCAAACAGUCUUUUUUUUUUCCUUUGGCUGUGCUGGGUCUUCCUUGAUGCACGAGGGCUUCUUCUAGUUGCUGUGAGCCAGGGCUACCCUCUAAUUGCAAUGCACGGGCCUCUCAUUAUGGUAACUUCUCUUGUUGCGGCUCAUGGGCCCUGAAGCGUGGGGGCUUCAGUACUUGCGGCACACAGGCUUAGUUGUCCCGCAUGGGAUCUUCCCGGACAAGGGA